rnacentral:tRNA from 1 species
GGCCGGUUAGCUCAGUUGGUUGAGCAUGGUGCUGACAACACCAAGGUCAUGAGUUCAAUCCCCAUUCGGUCC